rnacentral:lncRNA from 1 species
UGCUGUCAGAGACGAUUACAAGUUGCUACUGCCUUACUGGCACUAUAAAAAUCUGGUUGAAGUCCAAUAUUUGGAAACUACAGAUUCUUGAUGAUCUGUUACUAAUGGUGUGCUAAAUACAACCGUGCAGUCAGAACUCAUGGUGUCUGCCGUGAAGGGCACCUUAAAUAUUCUUGAGGUUUGUUCAUCUCUGAAGGUUCAGCUUGGGAGUUGUCAUGUUGCCAUGUUGCUUCGCCCGUUGCCAUGUUAAACUUCUCACGUAGGCCGCUUUGACCUUCCUGAGUUAGGUUCAUAUUUGGUUUUUUUGUGCUCGACGGUGAGACACUGUUGAUCUCCUUCAGCUCUCUUGUUCUUCCUGCAAACAAGGCCGGGUUCAGUUUUGGUGGCUUGACGCUGCAUGCUCUGGUUGCUACUUGAACUGCUUGCUGCAUCUGUAACACCUUCUCCUCCUAGAACUCAAUCAAUGGACACAACAUGGCUGUAAUGUUCUUGCUAUUCAAAUUACUCUGAAUUUGUAUGGCCGACACUUCAAAUUUUUGCACUUCCAGGUGGCAUUCAAAAGCUCAGCUCGGUGCCAUGAGGGAUGCUACAGAGCUGCCGUGGUGAUCCUGCUGAGGUGAGGUCGAGGCGCUGGAGUCCUGCGGCGCUGCGGCAUGCCGUGUGCUCUUUUUUGCUGAGGUCGAGUUGCUGGAGUGCGGUGGUUCUCGUCACCCUCUUGGAGUCCGGUGCUGUUGUUGGCUUUAUCUUGUUGCUGUUUUCCUAACUGUGAGAGAGACAUGUAUUUUUCUCUUCCUGUACACUUAAUACUAUGAAUAAUCUGAUCCCGUUGGUAGGUUGGUAUUGUACUAAUAAUGCAACAUAAUUAACAUUCUACUAGAUGAGAAAUUGUGUUUGGGUUACACUGUCGCUAGUGAAUUCAGCUUUGCUAAAAGAAAGUUAAAAAAUUGAUAACGCUAGAGGUGCUUUGGCAUAGUGUUGAGGAUAUUCAUGCAACGCAUACCCUGAUGCAUUGACCAUUUAGCGUAAAAGGAAUUAGUUGCAAGAAAUUCAAGAACUUCUACACAGAAAGUCUAGAGACGUACAGUGAAGUUUUACAAAAAAAAUAAGGCAGGUACCAGGGCUAUGCGUCGUUCGCGGUAAAGUUCUACUACAGCUGUACGCCAUGUUCGCGGUGAAGU